rnacentral:lncRNA from 1 species
UUGAUAGACUAUGCUGAUGCAUGAUACUGAUGCUUGACUGUGAAAUUAUGCUUGAGAUUGUGCAGUUGAGUUCAAAUUGUGGUUGUUUUCAUCAUGAGCUAUCUGAGAAUGCUUUUUGUUUAAAUGCGAUCAAUAUUCAGGGCAGUUGCCUAAUGAUGUUUGUGGAACCUUGAGUUAAUCCUGUGAGAUGUUGUGCCUUAAAUUUUUCUUGAGAAUGCUAUCAUGAUAGAUCACAACUGACUU